rnacentral:rRNA from 1 species
CCGAGUGGUGUGGAUGUUUAUUGGGCUUAAAGCGUCCGUAGCCGGCCCAGCAAGUCCUCUGUUAAACCCAGCGAUUCAAUCGUUGGACUGCGGGGGAUACUGCUCGGCUAGGGGACGAGAGAGGCCGACGGUAUUCUCGGAGUAGGGGUGAAAUCCUAUAAUCCCGGGAAGACCACCAGUGGCGAAGGCUGUCGGCUAGAACGCG